UACGUAGGGUGCGAGCGUUAAUCGGAAUUACUGGGCGUAAAGCGUGCGCAGGCGGUGCUGUAAGACCGAUGUGAAAUCCCCGGGCUUAACCUGGGAACUGCAUUGGUGACUGCAUUGCUGGAGUAUGGCAGAGGGGGGUGGAAUUCCACGUGUAGCAGUGAAAUGCGUAGAGAUGUGGAGGAACACCGAUGGCGAAGGCAGCCCCCUGGGCCAAUACUGACGCUCAUGCACGAAAGCGUGGGGAGCAAACAGG
rnacentral:rRNA from 1 species